rnacentral:rRNA from 1 species
CCUACGGGUGGCUGCAGUGAGGAAUAUUGGUCAAUGGACGAGAGUCUGAACCAGCCAAGUAGCGUGAAGGAUGACUGCCCUAUGGGUUGUAAACUUCUUUUAUAUGGGAGUAAAAUGUUCCACGUGUGGGAUUUUGUAUGUACCAUAUGAAUAAGGAUCGGCUAACUCCGUGCCAGCAGCCGCGGUAAUACGGAGGAUCCGAGCGUUAUCCGGAUUUAUUGGGUUUAAAGGGAGCGUAGGUGGAUUGUUAAGUCAGUUGUGAAAGUUUGCGGCUCAACCGUAAAAUUGCAGUGGAAACUGGCAGUCUUGAGUACAGUAGAGGUGGGCGGAAUUCGUGGUGUAGCGGUGAAAUGCUUAGAUAUCACGAAGAACUCCGAUGGCGAAGGCAGUUCACUGGACUGCAACUGACACUGAGGCUCGAAAGUGUGGGUAUCAAACAGGAUUAGAUACCCCAGUAGUC